rnacentral:rRNA from 1 species
UGGGGAAUAUUGGACAAUGGGGGCAACCCUGAUCCAGCCAUGCCGCGUGAGUGAUGAAGGCCUUAGGGUUGUAAAACUCUUUCAGUGGUGACGAUAAUGACGGUAACCACAGAAGAAGCCCCGGCUAACUCCGUGCCAGCAGCCGCGGUAAUACGGAGGGGGCUAGCGUUGCUCGGAAUUACUGGGCGUAAAGCGCGCGUAGGCGGACUAUUAAGUCAGGGGUGAAAUCCCGGGGCUCAACCCCGGAACUGCCUUUGAUACUGGUAGUCUAGAGUUCGAGAGAGGUGAGUGGAAUUCCGAGUGUAGAGGUGAAAUUCGUAGAUAUUCGGAGGAACACCAGUGGCGAAGGCGGCUCACUGGCUCGAUACUGACGCUGAGGUGCGAAAGCGUGGGGAGCAAACAGGAUUAGAUACCCCCGUAGUCC